rnacentral:rRNA from 1 species
UUGAACGCUGGCGGCAUGCUUUACACAUGCAAGUCGAACGGUAACAGGCCUUCGGGUGCUGACGAGUGGCGAACGGGUGAGUAAUGCAUCGGAACGUGCCCAGAGGUGGGGGAUAACGCAGCGAAAGCUGUGCUAAUACCGCAUGUGAUCUGAGGAUGAAAACGGGGGACCAAGCAGCAAUGUUUGGCCUCGCGCCUCUGGAGCGGCCGAUGUCAGAUUAGGUAGUUGGUGGGGUAAAGGCCUACCAAGCCGACGAUCUGUAGCUGGUCUGAGAGGACGACCAGCCACACUGGGACUGAGACACGGCCCAGACUCCUACGGGAGGCAGCAGUGGGGAAUUUUGGACAAUGGGCGCAAGCCUGAUCCAGCAAUGCCGCGUGCGGGAAGAAGGCCUUCGGGUUGUAAACCGCUUUUGUACGGAACGAAAAGGCUCUGGCUAAUACCUGGGGCUGAUGACGGUACCGUAAGAAUAAGCACCGGCUAACUACGUG